UACGUAGGGUGCAGGCGUUAAUCGGAAUUACUGGGCGUAAAGCGUGCGCAGGCGGUUUGCUAAGAGAGAUGUGAAAUCCCCGGGCUUAACCUGGGAACUGCGUUUCUAACUGGCAGGCUUGAGCGUGGCAGAGGGGGGUGGAAUUCCACGUGUAGCAGUGAAAUGCGUAGAGAUGUGGAGGAACACCGAUGGCGAAGGCAGCCCCCUGGGCUAACACUGACGCUCAUGCACGAAAGCGUGGGGAGCAAACAGG
rnacentral:rRNA from 1 species